UGUGUCGUCGAUGUCGCCAAAAGUCGUUCGAAAUGCCCUCACAUGCCAGGGUUUUCAUCGCUUCUGCCGUCGUGUGAUUACAUUCCCCGUAGUUUUUGCGAAAAACUGAGAUACUUUGCGUUUGAGAAAGCAUUCGUAUAAAUUUAUAAGAUUUAUAAGAUGCUGAUUCGAAUGGAAAUAGCAUUACAUCUGAAUCAAAACAUUUUAAUUCAGAUUAUUCUUUUCAAAGAGAGAGAUGAUUCUUGUAAAAGCUAUUCUUUUUUAUAGAAGUUAUUUUUAUAUGUGAAGAUUAACCGUUCAAUAAAAGGAAACUUAAACACAUUAGAGUUUGAAUGUAAUUUUAAUUUAUAAACAUUUUCGAAGCAUAGAAUUUUUAAUAUUUUACUAUAGUUGCAAAAAGAAACAUUAAAUUUCUUGAUACUCCCUUUUUUUAAGAGAGGCAACUAUAGAUAAUGGGUAUCUAGAUGUCGAUAUAGGUUAUUCUUGUUCUUGGGAAUGAAUCUCUUCAAGUUUGUUUGAUUAGCGCGCGAAGCUUAUUGAAAAUGUAAUUUGAAUGUCAUAACCUUCACUUGAGUCAAUCAGCGAGGCAUAAUAAUAAUAAUAGCGAAGAGAAUUCCAAUCCGGCAAAGGAGAAGAGCCUAGCAGUAAUGGUUUAGGACCCGAAAGCAAAUACUCGCGAUAAAUGCCAUUGCGUGCUGGGUGAUUCUGAUUCUGAUUCUGUUAGCAAAGGGCUUUUGGCUUGGCUGGCUGGUUGGUUGGUUGGUUGGUAUUGAAUUGGGCGAUCGGUGGAAAGGUUUGCUAAUGCCUCCGUUUCCAUUUAAGUGGUUUUUGAUUAGCUUUCGCCAUCGGCUUUUGGCACAUUCAGAGGGCACCGAGAUACGGGUGGCGGGCUUAGAUUCAGGCGAUGGAUGGUGGAUAGUGGAUAGUGGGUAAUGAGAGCUGCUUCAGUUGAAAUCCGGCACCGGCUUUUCCUUUGACGCAAGUACAAACGAGGGUAGAUAAAUAAGUACUAGUUACUACGUCAUUUGAGUGUUCUAUUUAUUCCAGGUUAAAAAGUGAUUUGUGAGGUUGUUUUUUUUUUUUUAACAAUUGGUAUGAUUUAGUAAAUUAUAAAUAUAUUUUUUUAUUUUAGGAGUAUAUGCGUUUUUGAUUAGUUGAUCAGAUAAGCAUGCUAGUUUUUGUAUGGAGUAAGAUUGUUAGAUGAGAAAAUAAUUAUAUCAUAUUAUAAUAUUUUCAUAGUUGCAAAGCAUGAUUGAAAACCUGUUUGGUUUCAAUAAGUUUUUGAAAGUAACCUCUUAGUUUAUUUCUAUGUAUAUGAAAUAUAUUUCUUAAUAACUGACGGUUUUCUUUUUCCACCUCCCUCGACUUGUUUAAUUGUGUUAACCGCUAGUCCAGUCAAGUGUCAUAAACACCGGGUGGAAAACCCAACGAAACAGAAACCGAAAAAAAAAAAACAAACAAAGAAACAACCAAAAAAAGUUGGCCUGCAUCCAUAAUCGCAUAUAUGUAUGUAGUGUGUAGUUGGUAAGUAGAGAGCGCAGCGAAAUAGACGGGGAAGUACGGGGUGAUCAGAAGGGGGCGGUGGGUGGACAUCAAAAGUUAGUUCAUUAAUUUGAAAAAACGGAAGAAAAAGAACAACAGAACAGAGCGCUGGCUUCAUGCAUGCUUGAGCACAGUAAAACCAAAGUCCGAAUCCACACUUGUCCCUAAGGUGUUUUUUAUUUUUCCGAUUCGCAGAUUACGCUUGUAAUUUACAGAUAUGUAACUCUUUAUGAUAUUCAUACAGAGUGGGAUUUAUUGAAAUAGGGAAAACUGUAUAUCACAAUUAGAUUUUUCCGGGUGAAGACUAAUUCUGAUUUCUUGAGGUGAGUUAAUGAAAUGAAUCAGUUUUAACUAAAAGAAUUUAGUUUUCAACGAACAAUUUAAUAUGUAUCAAGACUAAUGUUAAUUUAUUUAAAGUAACCAAUACAGUAUUGUAUUGUAUUAAUUUAAAAGGUAUAUAUGUACUUAUUUUAACCUAUAAAUAUACCCUCUUAACCACACACCUGGCGUUAUGGAAGGAUUUAUCCAAAUAAUUUAGUGCUGGGUAAUCCCGAUUCGUGUUUUUUCUCGCAGUGUAGAGUGCAGAACAGCAGUAAGCGGCAGUUAGCCACAGGCUACAGUUAAUACCACAACUGCAAGUGUUUUAAUUAUGGUGUUGCCGCGCUCUCCCCAUUUCCCCUGUGCAUCUGGAUCUAUUUUUGUUUCUCUGUACGAGCACACACGUAUAUGGCACGUUAUAUAAUGUGACACUAUAAUUCUCACCAGGGUCCAAAGCCACCGUUGUCGUCGCUCAACACCCACCUGAACCACUCCGCCCACCUGAGCACCAGCCACCCACCUAGCCACCCACCGCCCACGUUUUGUCACAUUGCGUGCACUUGGCAAAUAAAAAGCGAGCGGCAAACAGUAGAAUGGGCGAAAAAGGGAAAACGAAUUGCCAGUGGCGCAAAAAAAAAAAAAAAAAAAAAAAAAAUAUUUGUAUCUAAUGACACGUACACAUGUGUGUGGGUCUUGGCUAAAAGGAUACUUGAGGGCUUAACAGGAUACUCGGCCAAAAUUUUGAAGGUCACCACCGCUGAAAGCAGGUGGAUGGAAGGGGGGAAGUGAAGGGGGAAGGGGCCUCUUGCUAGAACAACCUGACCAUUUGACCCAAAAAAAAAAAUUUCAAUUUCUCGUUUACUUUCCGAGAAACACACCCAAGAAACACACUCACACACACACACACAUAUAUAUAUACAAACACAUAGAGAGCGGCAGCUUAAUAAUACAUUUGACCUUUUGGCUUAGUUUAUUUUUUUUUCUUCAUUUUCGCUUUCCAUUUUGCGGCGCCAUUCGCUUGUUUAGCAUUGUAAGUUGUUUUUUAUUGUUCGGCCAUCUCUGCUCGUCGGAGUUGCAAAUGGCUGUUGCAUACUUCAAGGGGUUGAAGGGACUGAGGUCCUUGAGCUUGGAAUAGGCGGGCAAUGGCAUAAUUUCGGGCCACCGAUUUAUGGCCCAAGGUGUGAAUGGAAUGUGGGGGAAAGUCGCUCAAGAAUAGCGCAGAAAUAUUCAGAACUUGUGGGACAAUUGCGAAAUAUUUUAAGGGCUUAAGUAUUUUGUAUAUUUUAUUGAUUGUAUCUUUUGUAUCAAAAGAGUUUUCCCUUUGGAAACUUUUACAUUGCUUACUAUUUCUAUUUUUAGAAUUUGUUUAACUUAAACUUUAUAAUAAAUCCGUUCUAUCUUGAACCCUAGUUUUGUGCGUAGCUCAAGUUGAACUUUGUAUUUACUUUUGUAUUUAAAUUCAAAGUAUUUCCAUAAUGGAACUAUCUUCCAGUUCCCUCUGUUUGUUAGCCUGUCUCAUCUUUUAACUAAGAGCUUGUCAGUUCCUUUUGCAGUUGUUAUAAUUGCUGACACAUUUUCGAAAACCCUUUACCCUUUCGUUGGCGCUGUGUCCAUUGCAUACUUUUGUGUGCAUGCAAUUUUAAUGCCUAUUGGCAUUACACGACGACCCCGUCCUCCCUCUUGUUGCGAAAUUCAUGAGCCAGAGAGCUAUGAAAAUAUAAAUCAACACAGUUUUCUCCAAAGAAAGAGUUGCUAAGGGUGUAAACUGGGCUAAAUGUCGCAAUCUGAUGGCGAUGUGCAAAACAUGGCUUAUGGACUCUAGGGAAAACCGGCGGAAAUGGAUCGUUUGCUUUUGGAAAAUCCUUUUGCAAAGGUUUAUCUAAAGAUAAUAUAUUUUAAUAGAAGCAAAUUUGUCUGUGAUUGUUGGACAUCAGAUAAAAUAAAAAUGUAUCUGCAAGUAAAGAAACUUGGGAUGAUCUAUGAUUAUUUAUAUUGCAAAAUGUUAGUUUUUAUAUUGGCACUUUGGGAGCCGUGUUACCUAAAUACUGUCGGUUAUAACAUUUUUAUUAUAACCAAUUCUUGUUUGGCUUUUCUCCGAAAGGAAAUCAAAUCUAGCUUCAUUCCAGCAUCUUAAUUUUCGCACUUUCGGCAAGUUUCUCUCACUUCAACCGGCAGCUCAUCAAGUUGCAGUCGAAAUUUCGGUUUCAAUCAACGCUUCCUUCAGCAUUUUUGGCCGGCUGUCAGCUGUCCUUGCACUGGUUUUGCCUCCACCUCGAUUGCUCAACUUUUCGAGUGGCUUAUUGCCACCCCAUCAUCUUGGUUCACCUGCUGGAAGUACAACUCAUCUAUGGCUGCACGUGCUGCCAGCGAAUUUGAGGUACUUCUCCACUCAUUUUUAAGCCCCGAAAAAGUUGGGACGAUAUAAAUUUGCCAUGUGCCUUGACCUUUGAUCGACCACACACACACACACACUUAUACACAUACACCCUAAAUGCCCAUAAAAGGCGGAUAUGAGAGGGCGUGGCCCGACAAAUGGGGGAAAAAAGCAGAUGUCUCGGGUUUCUUUCCGGCCAAAACCGGAAUCAUUGCCAAAUGUGGCCAACAGUCAGUGGUUCUCUGAAAUUCAAAUGGGAACAAAUUAAGAAAGGAUCUGACAAUUUAAUUCCUAUGAAUGUUUAAAGAUUCCUCUUAAAGUAUUCCCCAAUUUGAAGUGUCCUUAAAUGCCAAACUUAACACAUCACCUCAGCGAAUGUAACUCAAACAAAUUCAAUUAAUUUGUGCGAUGGCCACACUGGGAGGAAAAAGGGGCGAAAACACCUGCGUUGGACAGCUUCAAUGCCGUCGACACCCACACCAUCCACAACCAACCCAACCAACUGCCCACCUCAACUGUCCCGAAUGAUGUUGAAAAAUUAAACAGCGUCAAAAAGUGAAAAUUCAAUGAAAAACAAAACAAAAUGCCAGCAAGUGCAUGUCAAAGUUGCAGACUGAAGGAUAACCUUAAAAAAAAUUAUAAAUAAAUGAUAGAGAGCUUAGCAGUUCACUAUUUUAUAGAUAACACGGGAGUAGGAUUUAAAAUUUCAUGGAAAAUCUCCAGAACUUUUUACAUAACACUAAUCUCAAUCCAGAUGUGCUAAACCAUUAUUUUGUUUUUGUUUGGUUGUUUGGAAACGAAAAGUUUGCCAGGUCGGCAAUAAAAACUGAAGAGCCAAGCAAACCGUUAAUUUCCUGACACCAAAAUUCAAAUUUCAAGGCGAAAUGUAAAUUAAAUGAAAAUUUAUAUUGUUUUUCUCACCACCCACAAAAACUUUGGCGGCGAAAACCGAGAGAAUGUGGAGCGUUUUUAAAGGGCGGAUCUUGUUUUUCUUGGUGCUUUUGCUGUGCCUGCGCUCAAUGUUUUUCUUAUGAUUGUUAAUUAGCAAACAGACAUCGCAAAUGUUUAAACAAUUGUAGCGGGGGCGACGGCCCAAAGGGAUUGUUGCCAGUCCAAUUGUAUAAACACUGCCAGGGAAGAAAACUUUAUGGACGAUUCGAUGAAGAUAAGCUGAGAAAAAAAAGGAGGUGCGAAUUUGGUUAUGCAAUACUUGAGUUUGUAGAAAAUUUCGGGGGAGCAUUCUUAUCUUUAUUAAAAAAGUUCUCCUGCGAUUUGUCAACUAUUGAAAAGUUCGAAACGAGAUAAAUAACAAAACAAAGUCAAGUGGAAGAUAAUGAUAAAAGUUUAAACUGAUUUCAGUUGUUAUUAGUUUUAGAAUUUAAAUAAAUAAUACUAAUUGAAGCGAUA